GGGCCUAUAGCUUAGCGGUAGAGCAAUUCCUGCCCUAACAGGAAGGGGCCUCAGUUCAAAUCUGAGUGGGCCUA
rnacentral:tRNA from 3 species